rnacentral:rRNA from 1 species
GAUGAACGCUGGCGGCGUGCCUAAUACAUGCAAGUAGAACGCUGAAGGAGGAGCUUGCACUUCUGGAUGAGUUGCGAACGGGUGAGUAACGCGUAGGUAACCUGCCUGGUAGCGGGGGAUAACUAUUGGAAACGAUAGCUAAUACCGCAUGACAACAGUUAUUGCAUGAUAACUGUUUAAAAGGGGCAACUGCUCCACUACCAGAUGGACCUGCGUUGUAUUAGCUAGUUGGUGAGGUAACGGCUCACCAAGGCGACGAUACAUAGCCGACCUGAGAGGGUGAUCGGCCACACUGGGACUGAGACACGGCCCAGACUCCUACGGGAGGCAGCAGUAGGGAAUCUUCGGCAAUGGACGGAAGUCUGACCGAGCAACGCCGCGUGAGUGAAGAAGGUUUUCGGAUCGUAAAGCUCUGUUGUAAGAGAAGAACGAGUGUGAGAGUGGAAAGUUCACACUGUGACGGUAUCUUACCAGAAAGGGACGGCUAACUACGUG